rnacentral:rRNA from 1 species
UACGGAGGGUGCAAGCGUUGUUCGGAUUCACUGGGCGUAAAGGGUGCGUAGGCGGUCGGGUAAGUCUGAUGUGAAAUCUCACAGCUUAACUGUGAAACUGCAUUGGAUACUAUCCGGCUCGAGGAAUGGAGGGGAGACUGGAAUACUUGGUGUAGCAGUGAAAUGCGUAGAUAUCAAGUGGAACACCAGUGGCGAAGGCGAGUCUCUGGACAUUUCCUGACGCUGAGGCACGAAAGCCAGGGGAGCAAACGGG